rnacentral:misc_RNA from 1 species
CCGCAGUAGUAACUACUGCAGAAUCUUGGUAUUAAUAAAAGUAAGGCAGAAUUCUCCAGGGAACAAGUCUACGGUACUCAGCCCAUACUUCUUUAUACUUCUCUGCACAGCGAGCCUCGUCUCUUCUUUCUCUCCACAUGAGCAGAAUAAGGAGAUAAAUUGGAUAAAAGUAUGGAACAGGAGAACUUAUUCCACAAGGUAGACUGAAGGACAGAGCCAACAACAAGUCUCCAAGAUAAUUACAAUGUCUUGCAAUCCCCCAAUAACCAGAAGCAAGAAGCUUUCCUCCAAUAACCCUUGGUGGCUUACCCCAUAUGAGUGCUUUUGGAUUCUUUUUGAAAACAUGCUUUUGCUUGUUAGCUCCUCUAAAGACCAGAUACCCAAUCAGAAAAACUAAGCAAUUUGCGACAACAGCAGCUGUUGUUAGCUCCACCUUGUUACCCAAAAGCCACCAACCCUGGAUGCUAAAAGUGAAAGGAAUCCAAACAAGAUCGCCAAAUACCAACAUGAAGCCCAAUCUCUCUGCUAUUAUAUCCCAUGUGGAAGUCAUGUAUUCCUCAUAAAAGAAGUAAUCUAAGAUGUAUAACGCACAGAAUAGUUGGUAGAGGAUCAUUGAACAGCUCAAGUUGGCAUCUUGAAUACUUUUUGCUAGAACUGAUAGGUUUAUAAAUAGCCAUCCCAUCAUUCCAGCCCUAACAAAGAAGAAUUUGAGGUCAAUGCCCACAAACUGAGGAUUGAGCUGUAUUCCAAACCACAAGUCAUGUAUUAGGUUUCCAGUGACAUGAGGCUUCAGAGAAGAACCCUGGUUUUGUGAAUUGCAGCCAGCAGCAUAAAGUACCAACGUCACAAGAACACUGAGUAUAAAGGUUGUCAAUAGCAGCUCAAAUCCGCUCUCUGAUAUCACAGUGGGUGAUAAAAGAUCCAUCUUAGCUCCAGCCCCAAGAAGAGCAACCAGCAACAGCAAUGACAACAACCCAUUGCAACGAUAACAAAGACGAGAACCAUCCUGCAGGGUAACUCCAGGAACAACUUUUCCAGGGAGUAUUGAUCCAGCAAUUGCCAGAUAACCAAAGAAUACGACUAGUACAUAAACCGAGUUCAAUGAGGGAAUAAGCGCGUGUAGAAGAAAUCCCAGAUCCAUUAUUUUACCAGUUGAGUGAGUUUGAUGCUUCAGAUAUUUGCUCUGCUUUCUACUCAUCCAUGCCCCCUCUUGGAGAUACCGCUCC